GGCUGCUUAGCUCAGCUGGUUAGAGCAUGCGCUUCAUACGCGUACGGUGCGGGGUUCGAAUCCCUGAGCAGCCACCA
rnacentral:tRNA from 1 species